GGCAGGAGCCGCCUUCGCCGCGUCUUUGGUGAUGCGGUGUUAAACUGAGCCGGUACACCCCAAGGGCUGGCUGUGCUUUGUAGCGUGCUGCUGCCGUUCACCCCCGUGGCUUGCCACAAAAACGUGGGAAAUGUCUGCUGCACGGAGCGGAUUACAGUAACCAGCAGCAUGUUUAUUUAAGGCUGCCUCUUACGGAAAGUUAUUGAGUUUCCUAGUUCUCAUGUGUGAGGGCUGAUUCAUGCCUACGUCUCUCUUGGCUCAGGAGGAAAUCACAUCUGAACAGAAAGUGUGAGUUUCUUUGUUGGUUUUGGCAGUGGAAAGAUCUUCUCCUGUUACGGGAAACGUCAGCGCCUGCCUUAAGGUCCUUGGAAGCACAUGAGUGUCAGAGCCGUGAUGUCACAGCCAGCUGGAAGGAGCCACAGCUUUCCUUGCCCUCCUGCAGCCACCGGAGAUGGACACGGCCCCUGGUAUGUUAUAUUGCCUCGUCACAAAUGAGCAAUAAAGAAAAAUCACCUUUAAGCUUUGAA